AUCCAGCUGAUAAGUCCAAAAUAGGGCGAAAUGUACUUUCUGGAU
rfam:Schistosoma mansoni strain Puerto Rico chromosome 1, complete genome